rnacentral:rRNA from 1 species
AUGGAAGGGAAGGGUAGGGGAGGCCCCAGAUCGAGCGAAUCGACGCCUAGAUCCGCAGCGGCACCAGCACGGGCGCGCCGUCGUCCACCUAGUCCUCGAGGAUCGAUGGAUGGGGGCGGAACCCUAGCCCCACACCCACCCAUGGAUGAUGACGGCGGCGACCUUCUUUCGAUGGGGUGGGGAGUGAAGCUUCCUGAUGCGGUGGCCCUCGAUGCCCGCGACGGGCUGCAGCACCUAGACUUCAAAGGUACACACGCACGCCCUCCAUCCUCCUCCCCUCCCCUCCCCUCCCCUCUUCUUCUUCUUCUUCUUCUGGAUUGGUUCGUGUGGCCAUGGGUGUGCUUGAUUCUCUUGUACCACAUGCCCUAA